UCGUCCUCCAUGCCACCCCGGUGAGGGCUCGCGCCCGCCGAUGUCGGGCCCAGCCUGCCCGCUGCCAGCAGCCGGGCGGCCGCGUUCCGCGUUGCCUGGAAACCGCGGCCGCGCGACGCCGGGCUGGGACCCCUGCCCCCCUCCCGGAGCUUCUCUUCCGCGCAGCGCCCCCCUUCCCGCGCCUCGGGUGCGCUCUCUGGGUGCGCUCUCUGGGUGCGUCCUCGGAGCCCCAGCUGCACGGCGGCAGCGUCGGGGUUCCCGGUGGGAGAUGCCGCCGGGAUCAGCACGUCCCGACCUGCUGACCGCCUCCACGCAGCGUAGUUCGGUCACGCACCGACCGCCCGUUCGCGGGCCGGCUCCUGACCGCGCACCUCCUGGGCGCCGACCUUGGAGGCGCGUCCUUGAGCCGCGCCGCAGGAGGCCACGCGGGGCUUACAGUCCGCUGGUAGAAGGGAAAAGACCACCUAACGAGGGUCCAGAGCGCCGCGCAGUAGGAACGCGAUGGGAGCACACAGGGCUGGCCAAACAAGUGACAAGGUGUGCCUCAUUUCACUAACCUGCACGAAGCCUUUAGACUCCAAAGCGUCUGGGCAUGUUCAAGUUUGGGAAAAUCUCAGCUUUUGGAGGCUAAUUCACAGAGCUCACCACCACCACCGAGCCCAGGUGUCUACCAAGUCUCCAUACACACAUGGCCGUACAAGGACAUGCAGAUAGUGUCCUGGUCUCCAAGGAACUCCCCUUCCAGCAGAAUGGUCACCCCGUGUUCCCAGGACUCCUGCCCCCUGCCCCACCUACAUGCACCUACGGAGGAUCCAGUGUCCAGAAAUAUUCCCUUCUGAACUGCAGCAUCCCAGGGAGCGUCCCGAGCUUUGCUGCCACCUAGAGGAAGGCCUGAAGAAUGUCACCCUGGUGCUUCUGGGGUUAUGCUUGCAAGUAGAGCAACUUUUUACUUUUUGUUUUUUAAUUUUCUUUGCUUUUACUUUUGAAAAGCUACGGCAAGAUAUUGAAAGGUAUCCUUGAUGUAUGGUAGCAAGAGCUAUAGGAAUGAAUAUGUCAUUCCAACAAUAUCAUCACUUUUGCUUGUAUGGGUAAACAUUUCAACUCAGAGGCCUGGGAUUGAGUCGAUGAGGACUUGAAUUUAUCAUUUUACAGAGCGCGUCAAAUUCACUUCCAGUUGGUGAAACCGGAAACCUUAUAUCUAUUUACUAGCGUAAAUGAUCUUUAGGACAUACAUGCACAUUUCCAGGAUUAAAAUUUGCUUUAAAACAAAGUUCAGUCCAUCUGGCCUCCUUUGGUGAGGCCGCCCUGUGUGCUUUGUGC